UGGCGGCAGGCUUAACACAUGCAAGUCGAGCGGUAGCAUUUCUAGCUUGCUAGAAGAUGACGAGCGGCGGACGGGUGAGUAACGCGUAGGAAUCUGCCGAGUAGUGGGGGAUAGCCCAGAGAAAUUUGGAUUAAUACCGCAUACGCCCUACGGGGGAAAGGAGGGGAUCUUCGGACCUUUCGCUAUUCGAUGAGCCUGCGUGAGAUUAGCUUGUUGGUGAGGUAAAGGCUCACCAAGGCGACGAUCUCUAGCUGGUCUGAGAGGAUGAUCAGCCACACUGGGACUGAGACACGGCCCAGACUCCUACGGGAGGCAGCAGUGGGGAAUAUUGCACAAUGGGGGAAACCCUGAUGCAGCCAUGCCGCGUGUGUGAAGAAGGCCUUCGGGUUGUAAAGCACUUUCAGCAGUGAGGAAAGGGUGUAGAUUAAUACUCUGCAUCUGUGACGUUAACUGCAGAAGAAGGACCGGCUAACUCCGUGCCAGCAGCCGCGGUAAUA
rnacentral:rRNA from 1 species